UUGGAAGCUCAAACACGUGUGAAUCCAGCUGAAUUUGAAUUUGCCAUUAAACCUUCAAGCUUCAAGUAUGCAAGAUUUUGAGCAGAAAUCCACAAGAUGCACGUUCAAUCUUACUUAAAAACACUCCAUGAUCAUGAAUUCACCAAGAGAAAUGAGGUUUAUGUGAAGAAUUUGGAAAAUCUUUUUGAGAGAAAAUUUUGAAAAAUUUCUAGAUCUAGAUCUGAAAAUGUGUGUUAUGAGCAAUGCAGUUGUGAUUAAG
rnacentral:lncRNA from 1 species